UCCCAGCUGACACUUAUGUGCAUUUUAGUCACAUAAAUAUCAGGUAGACUGUUUACUGAUACAGAGACCUUUUAAAGGCACUGUUAUUUAGCGGUGCUGAGUACAUACAUACAUACAUAUAUAAAAAACUUUUUAAUGUGUUUACACUAAAUAUUACAUUUAUGU